UCCUGCCUGAGAAACCAACACGCUGGUGUAAUUUUCACGACUUUGUCGGGAAAGUUGGGAGUAUCACCCCCCGUUGUAGCCCCCCCUACGUAAGGUGUCUAUGUACAGCAUGAGCCGUUCUCAUUCAUGGGUGGGUGGCGACUAUGAUUGCUGGUACGAAGUUCGCGCACGUUUCAACGACGCUUGAGCUUUAGACUUGAUGAGCAUUGCUUG
rnacentral:rRNA from 1 species